UAGAGAAUGAGGGGGUACACAUUUUCAUCAAUGUUUUUUACUUUUUUCUCUUGAGUCAAAGUUCCUAUAAAAAGAAAAUCAACUGAUAUUAAAAUGACUAACUUAUCAAAUAGUUACUGUUGGCUACCUUUCCAGUUGUUCCAUUGAAUUGUCAUAAUUUUCCUAUUUUAUAGCUGAGAAAACUGUGCAGAUAUUGAUCAGAUCAACAGCACGGCAGCUCAUGGCGCCUUUGUACUGAGGGAUGUCAGUUGGACAGUGCUCUGUUAUGAUGCUCAGGCUAACCUGUCAUUAGAACAUAGUGCUUCUGGGCCGAGAAACAGAGCUGUUUAUGUUUUAUUGAUGUAUCUUUUUAAAAAAAAGUUGAUAGAAAUCAUUCUUGUACCUGGUGGCAUAGUUGCUCAUCGUAGAUACGUGUGUAUAUUGGUAGCUAUUUGUGCAAGGAUUCACUUUUUAAUGAAUGCUAACUCCUGGCUGGAUAAAACUGGAAGUAGAAAAGUACAAGGUAUCUGACUCUGGAGUACAUAAUCUAGUAGGAAAAAUUAUAAAGAAAUGUUACAAAAAUCACGUAAGAAGGGCAAAUACAUGUAUUUUUCAAAGCACUUAACAUUUCCACAUGGUCACGAUUUUUCUCUUCAGCAAUUCCUGGCACUAUUUUACUAAGAAUGCAAGAAGUCAAGCACCUUCAGAAUAUAUAAAAAACACCUAAAAGUCAUCUUUAGUUCAGCCCCAUCAACUUCACCUCUGGUGAGUUUCUGGUUUUGCCACAAAACAUCAGAUUAGCUCAUUUGGGACAGUGACUUCUAAUUGUGGUGAAUAUGCAAAUGAUACCAAAAAUGUGCUUUGCUUUCUUUCACUUCCCUUGUGGCUGUUAGGCACCAGAACAGGGGAGAGUCAAUUACCAGUCCGUUAGACCUACAAUCCUACAUCUCAGCAGUCAGCAGGGAGAGAAGCUCCUUCCUCAAAUUACCCUCUUCUUUAUGGACCGUUAAACAGCAAAAAGCACUAAUUAACUGAUCAUUAGCUUGAGGAUGAAUGAUUGUGUUCAGAUUUACAUGUUGCCUUUUAUGUUCAAAGAACUGCUUAAGCAUCAACUAAUUAAUCUGCAAGUGAAGAAUACUUGUGGCAUUACUUUAUAAUUAGACAAUCUCAGGAGGCGACGUGGAUUGCCAAGCCAGAGUCAGAUGGCUUUGCAGGCCUCUGUCACUGAUUUUUUUCAUCACUCCGGUAAAAUGGCCAUCUCUGAAUCCCAUUACCAACUCAUUACUCUUAUUUACAAAUAAAUUUCCUUUUUUUUAAAAAAGACCAGAGUUGUAUAACAGAUGAGGAGAUGGAAAUAAAAACAAAUGAAUAACCAAGAGCAUUGCUUUCCUUUCAGCCUUUUUGGGUCAUUUUUUAUUUCCCAUAAACAACAAAUUUAAGCAAGUCUAUUUCAUGACAUGCAGUUGAUGGCUCUUUCUCUCUCUUUUCGCCAACAUUCUCUUGUUUGCAAAAGUUAUGGCUGUGUGUGUGUGGUGGGAGGAGGGCAGAGAAUUAGUACAUCUUUCAGACUGUGGUUUUCUGGGUGGUAUGGAUUUGAGAUGGGACAGAGUCUAAAUUAAAGAAGUGAAAAACAAUUUUACAAAUAUUUUUUGGGACGAAAACGUGUGUGAUCAUAAAAGUUAUGUGUUCAUACGUCGAGUCACUGGAUAUUGGGAAUCCCUAAUGGACAUGACUAAUAGAAUGUAUCUUUAUAAGUUCAUGCCAAAGUUACAAAACAACAGGAACUGAAAGUAUUAACAAAAGACCUUCCUUGCACUCCGCCAUCGCGCCUGGAUCCAUUGGUUGAUGGGCAUGUGAUAUUAUUAAAGAGUCUAAAUGAAAUAGUUGUUUAUUAAACUUUCCCUGAAGCAUAACCAGUCUUCUCGACUUCAAUGAAUACAAGUAUGCAACAAUAAAUUAAUUCAAUUUGAGUUUCUGUUUGGGGUCGGUUUCCAACAAGCCUGUGUCAAAUGCUAAACUUUCUCUAAUUCAGAAACUAG
rnacentral:lncRNA from 1 species